rnacentral:rRNA from 1 species
ACUCAAAUGAAUUGACGGGGGCCCGCACAAGCGGAGGAGCAUGUGGUUUAAUUCGAUGAUACGCGAGGAACCUUACCCGGGCUUGAAUUGCAGUGGAAUAAUCUGGAAACAGAUUAGUCUUCGGACCACUGUGAAGGUGCUGCAUGGUUGUCGUCAGCUCGUGCCGUGAGGUGUUAGGUUAAGUCCUGCAACGAGCGCAACCCUUACACUUAGUUGCCAGCAUGUAACGAUGGGGACUCUAUGUGAACUGCCUACGCAAGUAGCGAGGAAGGUGGGGAUGACGUCAAAUCAGCACGGCCCUUAUGUUCGGGGCUACACACGUGCUACAAUGGUCGGUACAGAGGGUCGCUACCCCGCAAGGGGACGCCAAUCUCAAAAGCCGAUCUCAGUUCGGAUCGGAGUCUGUAACUCGACUCCGUGAAGUUGGAUUCGCUAGUAAUCGCGCAUCAGCCAUGGCGCGGUGAAUACGUUCCCGGGCCUUGUACACACCGCCCGU